rnacentral:lncRNA from 1 species
AAAAAAAAGAAAAAGCUGUUUUCAGAAACUCUGAAAGAGCUUAAUCCCAUCAGGCUUUAUUAAUUGCAUCUAAUAUAAGUCUGGGAAAUGCCAGGGAAGACUUCAUGUGCUGCCUCACACAAAGGCUAAAAAGCAGCUGGAAGUCAUUGAUCGCACAGCACCCCGGAGCGCCGGUUCUCCGAAUCCAUCCAGCCAUUUAAAUCGCCUUCUGCCUGGCUGUAAAAGGCAGCUGGUCACAAGGAGUUAAUUCUUCUCCCUGCUCGGUGCGUGUGUCUCAAGUUUCCAUGGCGGUUUUGCUUUUGAUUUCGCGGAGUCCAGAUUUAUAGGCAUGCGACGGUGACUCAGGCCUUCGCCUUUGCACGCAGCCGGCCCCAUGCGCGGCUGCGGCCGUGUCCCAGGGAAGAACGGGUUAAGCAAAUCACCGGCAGAAGGAGAAUCUAUUCCUUCUUUGUCUGCACCCCGCCGCCAUGCCGUCCGCUGCGCUCCACCCUGCUCUCGGGGCUCCCCUAUCUCUGUCUGGCUGCGUUGUGGCCGUGGCGUGCACGAGGGGGGAGCAAUGCCGUCGCUGCUCGCGGUAGGCUAGCUUGCCUGGGGAUUCGCGCCGCGCGGAUGCAGGAGCAGGUAGGCCGCGCCCGGGCUCCCGCGGGGGAGCGGCGCCGGGGCUGGGCUGCGCCGAGAGCGCUCCCGAACGCACCGGAGGCCGCGGCGUCAGACGAAGGCAUUUUCUGUGCAUUGGGCACAAAAACGAAUGCCUGCCAACAGAGAGCCAUGUGAGACGCUCCCUUGCAUUGGGCGGCUGCCCAGACGUUCAGCUGCAAGAGUCGAUCUAAUUGGUGGUUUCCUCUUCCCAUGCGCAGCUUCAUGUGGGAAAUGCCCUUUUUUUAUCUACAAUGGCUGACUGCACUAUGCCGCACUGUCAGUGUCUGGAGGUUUCCUGUUGAGAUGAAUGCAGUUUGUUUCUGAACGCUAGACUUUGCCAAGGGGGAGAUGGUAUUGUUUUAGCUGAUUC